UGGGGAAUUUUGGACAAUGGGGGAAACCCUGAUCCAGCCAUCCCGCGUGUGCGAUGAAGGCCUUCGGGUUGUAAAGCACUUUUGGCAGGAAAGAAACGUCAUGGGUUAAUACCCCGUGAAACUGACGGUACCUGCAGAAUAAGCACCGGCUAACUACGUGCCAGCAGCCGCGGUAAUACGUAGGGUGCAAGCGUUAAUCGGAAUUACUGGGCGUAAAGCGUGCGCAGGCGGUUCGGAAAGAAAGAUGUGAAAUCCCAGAGCUCAACUUUGGAACUGCAUUUUUAACUACCGGGCUAGAGUGUGUCAGAGGGAGGUGGAAUUACGAGUGUAGCAGUGAAAUGCGUAGAUAUGCGGAGGAACACCGAUGGCGAAGGCAGCCUCCUGGGAUAACACUGACGCUCAUGCACGAAAGCGUGGGGAGCAAACAGG
rnacentral:rRNA from 1 species